UACGAAGGGGGCUAGCGUUGUUCGGAAUUACUGGGCGUAAAGCGUGCGCAGGCGGUUGUGCAAGACAGAUGUGAAAUCCCCGGGCUUAACCUGGGAACUGCAUUUGUGACUGCACAGCUGGAGUGCGGCAGAGGGGGAUGGAAUUCCGCGUGUAGCAGUGAAAUGCGUAGAUAUGCGGAGGAACACCGAUGGCGAAGGCAAUCCCCUGGGCCUGCACUGACGCUCAUGCACGAAAGCGUGGGGAGCAAACAGG
rnacentral:rRNA from 1 species